rnacentral:pre_miRNA from 1 species
AAUAAACAAAACCAUGAGUUUCGUGCCAAACUUUGAUCAUCCGUUUUAUUUGAAUUUUUUAAUGAUUAGUAUUUUUAUUGUUAUUAGAUUAUAAAAUAUGAAUACCCCGCAAAAAAAACAUGAAUAGUAAUUUAUGUGUGAUUUAUGUUUUUUAGCUUUUUUAAAAAAAAUUAAAUAAGACAAACGAUUAAAGUUGUAUACGAAAACUUAUGGAUGCGCUUAUU